rnacentral:lncRNA from 1 species
GAAUGAUGAAUUCUCUUCAGUAGCAUUGGUUUUUGUUGUUGUUGUUGUUGUUGUUGUUUUCCUUUGCUUUGCUGAGAUAGUUAGAGGCCUAGAGAGCAUUUCUUUAACAGACAUCCUUAUGUAUCAUGAGCAUCAAAUACCAUUUCCUGAGAAAGUCAUCAAACUUACACCUGAUUAUGUGUCUUCCCAGUCCACUGCAGAGAUCUCAGACUGACUCAAUAGCUCCCACCAUCCUUUAAAAGCCAGCACAGAAGUGAUUCUCAGUUACUUCCACACCUCUCAUGGCAGUAACGAUGUACAGACCAGGCUGUAAAGCACUGUGAAUGAGGUGGGUCCACAGCAGUUAUAAAAUUGCCCUGUGAGCUGGUUCUGCACUGGGGGGUCAUUAAGGUUCCCAUUUCAAGAACAUCCCUCGCCCUCUGGCCACAUCGGGAUAAACACAGCAUUCUCCAUGGGCUCUAUCUCUCUGCCCAGCUGUGACUUAAAGAGUUUAUUUCUAGGUACUCCAGGCAUUUCAUUGCAGCCCACUUCCACCUCCACCCUCAGCUGACAACCGGAGACACUCAGUAAUUAUCAGCAGUCUUCACUUGCAAUGAUUCUCUACCACACUAAAUACAAAUACGGAUAGUGUGGGCACAAAAUCCUCUGUAAAUUCUGAUACUGGGAAACUAAGUAGUUCUGUAGAAAAUGGUUGGAUUAAGAGAUUUUUUCAAGAAUUGAGGCCAUAGUGUUGAAUAACUUUUGGGGGUAACCUAUGCAUAAAUCCUGGGACUGUUCAUUUUGAGAGACAUUACAAACCUUAGCUGCUGACUUGUCUUAGUUAGGGUUUCUAUUGCUGUAAAGAGACACCAUGACCACAGCAACUCUUCUAAAGGAAAACAUUUAAUUGGGGCUGGCUUCCAGAUUCAGAGGCUUAGUCCAUAUUGUUACAGUGAGAAGCAUGGCAGCAUGCAGGCAGACAUGGUGCUGGAGAGGUGUCUGAGAGUUCUACAUCUUGAUUCACAGGAAGCAGGAAGAGACUAUGAGCCACAGUGUAACUUGAGUAUAUGGGACCUCAAAAACUGUCCCACAGUGACACACUUCUUCCAACAAGGCCACACCUACAUCAAUAAGGCCAUACUCCCUAAUACUGCCACUCCCUAUGGGCCAAGUAUUCAAACAUAUGAAUCUACAUGGCCAUUCCUAUCGAAACCACCAUAUUCCACUUUCUGGCACCCCUAGGCUUGUAGCCAUACCAUAAUACGGAAAUGCAUUCAGUCUAACUUCACAAGUCUGCACAGUCUAUAAUUGUCUCAAAUUUGCUUAAAAUUCCAAAGUUCAAAGUCUCUUCUGAGACUCGUGCAAUCUCUUAACUGUAAUCCCCUGCAAAACAAUGAAGAAGCAGAUCACAUACUUCCAACAUUUAAUGGCACAGGAUAUACAUUAUUGUUCCAAAAUGGAGAAAAGGGAGCAUAGUGAAAUAUUGGCCACAACACACACUAUCCACACAGACACUCUGCAACCCAGACAGGUACAGGUAGCAUCAUGAACACCCCAAGGUAUUCUUUCUCCAGAGAGAAGGAACAAGAAGAACCACUGGAAAAGCAGCAGAUCUGGAGAGGAAGAAAGUGUCAGGUUGCUAGGAACCUGGCCUAUCUGGCUGAUGGAUAUGGAAUCUUCUUAUGAUGGGAAAGGCCAGGUUAAAUAUCCCUUUCUGGGGAUAUUCUUCAGGCAGUAGGCUAGAAGAAAAACAAAAUUAACCAAGAUUUCUUGAAUACAGCAGUAUGUUUUAUGAAGCAGUUGUCCUUGUUUGUAGGUGAAGCAAAGCCUUGAUGUUUGCAGGCACCCUGUGAUCCAGGUAGUAUUUACUCUUAGCUGGAAGCAACAAUAUACUAAAGGCAGAAUCAGCCAUUGUGUGCUGAGAGCAUGGGCACAGUCCUUCAAGAAGCGGGAAAGUGGGGAGCAUCGAGUGACCAAACCAAUGGUAGACAGGACAUGGAGCCCAGUUCUGAACACAUUGGAUGAUUGGGACCACUUCCUGGUUGGCCUUUGCUACACAGAGUAGCAGGAGUUGAUUAUAUUGGUUACAUUUUUCAUUGUUACGACAAAAAUACCUGACUAAAACAAUUUAAAGAAAAGAUGAGUUUAAUUAAGUUUUCAGUUUGAGUAGAGAUAUAGUCCAUCAUUGCAGGGAAGUCAUGAUGGCAGGACCACGAGGGGACUAGUCACACAGUGUCUACUGUUAGGAAACAAAGUGAUGACUUCUGGUCACCAACUGAUUUCCCUAUUUUCCCCCAUUAUAUUCAGUCUAGAACCUCAGCCCAUGGCAUGGUGGCACCCACAUUUAGCAUGGACCUUCCCUCUUAAGAUAGUUCAGUCUUGCCAGGCAUUGGUGGCACACGCCUUUAAUCCCAGCACUUGGGAGGCAGAGGCAGGCGGAUCUCUCUGAGUUUGAGACCAGCUUGGUCUACAAGAGCUAGUUCCAGGGCAGCCUCCAAAGCCACAGAGAAACCCUGUCUCGAAAAACAAAAAACAAAACAAAACAAAACAAAAACAAAAAAGAUAGUUCAAUCUUUCUGGAAACACUGCAUCUAUAUGGCCCCAACACUUGUUUUCAGAGUGAUUCUAAUCACUGGAGACCUUGCUUUACUAAAUAUUUUCAGCACCAGACAGGGUGCAGUGGGGCAGGGCCUCCUCACUCACCCAUGUCCGAGGUGUCAUUUUGGAAGGUUGAUGGCUGGGUGUUAGAAUCAUGUGGCAACAUUUUCAAACACAAGUCUGGUGAUGGGAGAAGACCUUUAUGUUUCUCUUAUUGGUUGAUGAAUAAAACACUGUUGGCCAAUAAGGCAUGAAAAUAGGUGGAACUAGGAGGACGAGAAUUCUGGGAAAGUCAAGCAGAGUGAGCCCGCUACACAGUCUCGAUGCUGCUGAAGAAGUAACACCAUGCCGGGCAUUACCGGGCCAUGGAAUGAUUUCAGUGGAAGAUUAGGCUCCAAGAAGCCAGUCCAGUCUCUAUGCUCAUUCAACCUGGAGCUGAGUUUUACUUCCAUCAUUUGGAGUAGUCUGUCUGGGAAACUGUGUUCACCUGGCUCAACUUCCUUGACCUUAAGAUCCUUCCGUUUUAAAUCCAGACUUCAGUUUAUUGAGGUGUCACUUAGAGUCACUCCUUGUAAGUGGUAGAUUUUGACGAACAUACCCAUCAACACAGCGUAACUACAGCCCUUGCAUUUUCUGCUCAGAAUAACGUUUUCCCAUUCCUAUUAUUUUGAAGUUUCCAGAUCCUCAUUUAUGAAACAAGGCUGACUUUUUUCAUACUCCUGAGUACAGCCAACAUGUUAAAAUGUAAGGUUUUAAUUGUGAUAAAAUUCACAACUUUCUUCUUUUACGAAUUAUACAUUUGGUGUCUUUUCUACAAAAUCUUUUGUUAGACAAAAGAUCACAAAUUCUUUCUCUUAAGUUCUUUUUCAGAUUUUUCUUUGCUUUAAUUUUAUUUUGAAACUCAUUUGUGUGAGUGUACCUGUCACAGUGUGUGUGGAGGUCAGAGACAACUUUCAUGAGUUGUGUUACCCACACCAGCCUAUAAAUUUGUUGAAGUGAAUUGAAUCUCUCAGAAUACAUGGGUGUAUUAAAGCCACAUCAAGAAACCCAGGUCCCGAUAUGUAGUUGACACAAUGCACCAAGGGAAGGGUGUAACUCCCUCACCUGCACCCAGGAAGAAAUGCACCGCUAGUACUACGAUGGCAGCUGCCCCCAGUGACGGAUCAUCUGACCUCCUGGGUGUGAGUCGAGGGAUCAACAGGCAGAGAAUUCCCAGCAGUCACAAGGGCUUCCACAUGACUUUGUUCCGAAAGUUGAUGUGGUCUGUCCACUGCUUUGUCCAUCCUCCUGCUUAUCUGUGUGGACCUGUCUGGACUCAUUUGUCUCUAGACCCAGCCUCACCUUUCACUUCCCCAAUAGGAUUCAACUUCACAGCUCAACCAGCAGUCCGUAUGUGACUCUAAGGUAGCUAUGACUGUUUCUCCAGCUGCUGCGGUCAGCUAUCUCACCCAUCUGGCCCUAUCUGCAUGUCUAUCACUUUCCCUGUUUCUUGGGACUUCAGAAACCUCUUAAACUCUGCUGCAGUCUCAGAACUCUUUGUAGUCAGUCACUUUGUCACUAUAUAUAUAUAUAUAUAUAUAUAUAUAUAUAUAUAUAUUGUGAAAUAUGUAAUGUGUGACCUGAGAGUUAAUAUUAGUAAUUAAGUUUUCAUUAUUGUUAGUUUUAGACAAGUUAAUAUACUCUUAUACAUACCUGGGAAGAGAGAAUCACAAAUGAGUAAUUGUCUCUGUCAGAUUGGCCUGUGGGUAUGCCUGUGUGGCAUUUUCUUGAUUGCUGCUUGGUGUAGAGGGGCCCAGACCUACCAUGGGGCAGUGCCAAACCUGGGCAGGUGGUCUUGGGUUCUAUGAGAAAACAAGCUGAGCAAGCCACAAAUAAGCAAACUAAUAAACAAAUUUCCUGCAGGGCCUCUGCUUCAGUUUCUGCCAUUGUGUCCCUGCCUUGAGUUCCUGCCCUGACUUCCCUCAGUGUAGACUGUGAUGGGAAAAUAAUGUGUAAUGAUAUGUAAGGUGAAUAAACCUUUUCCUCCCCAAAUUGCUUUUUAGUCAAGAUGUUUUAUCACAGCAGAAGAAAACAGGACAGAUUGAAAUUCUAAACACCCUGUUUGCCUCGACAUAUUGUCAAGGAAAAACAGACCAUGUGGCAAAUUGCUGUCAAAAAAAAAAUCAUCGACCCUUGCAAAUUUGUUAUGCAAUAAAUUCUGACACUGUGGGAUGACACGAACAUGUUCAUCUGUGUUUCUGGCAUAGUAGUUGCAUGACCUUCAGUGCACAUAUUUAUUUCAAAAUCUGACAAAAUGGCAAUUAUGUGCCCAAAGAACUGUGUGUUAGCCAUUCCCCAGGGACACUGUCACUGCAGCAUGGGAGAGUCCUGUGAGUGAACAGCCCCCUUCAGAGUUACAAGGGGUCUAUCCUGACCUUCCUCACGUAGAGGUGGCUUCAGUCCUUUGUCACAAAGAUGUUGAUUGACCUAUCCUUCUGUUCUUGGAACCCGAGCUGUCUCAAGAGCUGCAAGCCUACAGUUUUCCAGGAAUUUCACCCAGAAAUCCCAUGUACAGCCACGAACCCUGAACUGGCCUGAAUCGAGGUCCCUAAAGGAUGAAGAAAACUCAUCAGGCUGUCAAGAGUGACUUUGGGGUAACCUGAAUCCAUCUUUGAGGAUGGCCCCUCUUUCAGAACAUUAUUAUGACACUGCCAUUCUUGAGAUUACAGGCGGCUUUCCCAGAGCAUCACUCAUUAUCAACAGUCAACUUGACAGAACCUGGGACCGUAGAAGAGGCAAGUCUGGGGAUGUCUGCAAGACAGUUUCUAGGUUGUGUUAACUGAGAUGGGUCUUCAGACCCACCUUAAAUGUGAGAGGCACCAUCCCAUGGACUGGAGUGCUAGACUGAAUAAAAAAGGAGGGGUGAGCUGAACACCAGCAUUCAUCUCUCCUGGCUCCCCAGCUGCAGACACAGUGUGACCAGCUGCCUCUGCUCUUUACCAUGAUGGACACAUGACAUGCUGUCUCUGCUCUCUCCACCAUGGUGGAACUUGAGCCAAAAUAAAUCCUUCCUUCUUUGUAGUACUUUGUCAGAUACAGUGUAGUGACAAAGCUGCAGCUAAGAGACCGGUGUCUGCAUGCUGCUCACACCUGUCAGGACUCAGGCUUUGACUCCAGUAGCUCCAGUAACAGCUUUCUUUUUGCCUUCCCCUCAACAAAACCUUCCUCUAAGGGUUAUUAUUUCGCAGAGAACCCCUACUUUAAAGGAAUCCAUAGCGUGGAGAAUGUAUAAAAAUGAUGAUUUCUAGGACCACAAAUGUUUGCCUGGCUGUGUAACAAGGGUGUUGCAUUGGCUCACUUUCCUACCAUGGAAUACAGUCAUGGCCAGGCCAACACCAACUCAAAAGAAGACAAGGCCUGAAGGCAGCAUGGCUAGGAUGCCAGCAGCAGAAUACUGGAGUUACCAGGAAAUGAUGACAAGUACAAGUGCCCAUGCCCUGCCUAUAUACAUAGUGGGCAAUGACAAGAACCCCCUCCUAGGUCUUGAGUGACAUAUUGAUUUUGGAGUUUAGAGCAAGUGUGGAUGGAGGCCGGAGAGAGCUGGCUGCAGACACUGUGGUGACUUUCAGCCAAGCCUGGAGGGGUUUCCAGAGCCCAUGCUAGAAGGUUUUCAUGCAUGGCAGAGGUUUCCAUGAUUGCGUUGCCUGCCUUUCUGCAGAACGACACACUGACAGUCACUCUCCAAGCUUAUUAGUCACUUGCAAUUUUCAUGAAGGAGUUUAGUUCUAAUCUAGGGAAAAAAACAUAUAUAAGGUAGCAAUUUCAUAAAGCAGGACCCAAAUUGUGCACCAAGGAAUGAAUCCUCACAGGAGAUCCAGAAACUGGUAAAAGGCAAGUCCACAUGCAUCAAAGCCCAGCAGACAAGAAAUGCUUGGAUCCUUGGCUGAGUCCACACUGGCCAAGCUAGAACCACUUCUGCUCUCUGUCUCUUAUGUCAUGCUUCUUGUCUCUGGGCUCCAUGUUGCUGCAAUCCCUGCUCCAACUACAUUCUUUACUAACCUGAAUGAAAAUGUCUAUGUUCAAGGACAUCAGGCCCAGGCCUGGCAAAUCACAGCUGCACCAUGGGCCCUACUGCUCCACUUCUCACAAGCUGCUUUUUAAUCACUUCUGUUUCAAAUCUAACCCAAGUGGAGAAGACAUGAAAAGAAAAUGUAAGCUGUACUCUAAUAGAUUUUGGAAUUGGAGGCAGAAGCAGCAGGCAUCUGAUUGCUGUCCUGUGCCCAUAGGAAGGGCCAGUUCUCUUGGCAGAGAAAACCUGGUUUCUGACUCUGAGAGAUAAUAAAGGCUAACAGCCUAUGCUGUAGUGUAGGGGUGGCACUUAGAUGUGGGCAUUCUGCUUGAGGACUGGGGUGCCAGAGCAAAGGCUGUGUCAGUAUUUAAAAUUGUAAGCAGCCUCAUAGAAAAUGUGUAUUUUUCAUGUACUUUAUCGAGUGAAUUCCUCCUAUAUAUUUUUAUACAUGGAAUGUUUGAUGUGCACUCCCCCAGGUAAUUUGCUCCCAUAAUUGGCAAUAAAUGUUAGUUAAAUUUAAUAUAUUAGUGUUGUGCUGGAUAGUUUUAUGUCAACUAGACACAGCUAGAGUCAUCAAGGAGGAAGGAGCCUCCAUUGAGGAAAUGCUUCCAUAAGAUCCAGCUGUAAGGCAUUUUAUUUUCUUAAUUAGUGAUCAAUGGGGAGGGCCGAGCCCAUUGUGGAUGGUGCCAUCUCUGGGCUGGUGGUCCUAGGUUCUGUAAGAAAGCAGGCUGAGCAAGCCAUAGGGAGCAAGCCAGUAAGCAGCACCCUCCAUGGCCUCUACAUCAGUUUGUGCUGGUUCUUCCCCUGUUUGAGUUCUUGUCUUGACUCCUUUGAUGAUGAACAGUGAUAUGGAAGUGGAAGCCAACUAAACUCUUUCCUCCCCAACUUGAUUUUUGAUUGCAAUAGAAACCCAAACCAAAAUAAAUAUUUCCAGACAAUAUCAUUUUAAUUUUUGUGUAGAUUUACGCAUAUAUGAUGUGCAUGCAUACAUACAUGUGUUUAUAUGUAUGUGGAUAUACAUGUUUGGUUGGCACCAAGUUGAUGCCUAGUGUCUUCCCAAUCUCUCUCAACCUUAUAUACAGAGGCAGGGUCUCUCACUUAAACAUGGAGUUAUCCCAUUUUGUUAGUCUAGCUAUCUUGCUCACUCAGGGGAUCUCCUGUCUCUCUUCUCCAUCACUGGCCUUACACAG